rnacentral:lncRNA from 1 species
AAACAUCUUGCUUCAUAUUCAAACUCAACACCAGAACAACUUAAUUUUUCACAUAACACAUUUGGUAAUGGUUGUAGCUCAAACUCAUUAGCACUUUGAUUCUAUUUUUGUGUUGAAAAUGGGUGUGUAUUCAUGGGUUGUCUUUCGAAAGGGUUUUGAGUCAAGUUUGAGUCAAGUUGGUUUUGUUUGGUUUACACUCUUUUUUAGAUUUUUG